rnacentral:rRNA from 1 species
UACGGAGGGGGCAAGCGUUAUUCGGAAUUAUUGGGCGUAAAGGGCGCGUAGGCGGCUAGAUGUGUCAAAGGUGAAAUCCCUCGGCUCAACUGAGGAACUGCCUUUGAAACUGUCUGGCUUGAGGCCGGGAGAGGGUAGCGGAAUUCCCAGUGUAGCGGUGAAAUGCGUAGAUAUCAGGAGGAACACCGGUGGCGAAGGCGGGUCUCUGGGCCGUAACUGACGCUGAGGAGCGAAAGCGUGGGGAGCGAACAGG